UACAGGGGGGGGCAAGCGUUUGUUCGGAAUUACUGGGCGUAAAGGGCUCGUAGGCGGCCAACUAAGUCAGACGUGAAAUCCCCAGGCUCAACCUGGGAACUGCGUCUGAUACUGGAUGGCUUGAAUCCGGGAGAGGGAUGCAGAAUUCCAGGUGUAGCGGUGAAAUGCGCAGAUAUCAGGAGGAACACCAGCGGCGAAGGCGGCGCUCUGGGCCGGAACUGACGCUGAGGAGCGAAAGCGUGGGGAGCGAACAGG
rnacentral:rRNA from 1 species